ensembl:lncRNA
GUGCUUCUCACUUCAGCAUUAUGGGUCCCCUGUCAACCCUUUCCGGAGGUGCGGAUUUGUGGAUCCCUCCUCCCACUAGUCACAGAACCAGGCCAAACCAGCCUGUAAACCACUGACAGUAUCAGCUUGACAUAUCUGAAAAAUUAAUUUCCCUCCAAAAUGAAGAAAGAAAUGAACAAACAAAACAAUUACAAUCACUCAAUCAGUGUGAUAGUGUCAAAGUACAGAAGGUAACAGAGCCACCUGAUACAACAUUGGAUCAUCAUUAUAGUACAGUAUAGUUUUACAUUAAUUUAAGAUAACCUCG